UACGAAGGGUGCAAGCGUUAAUCGGAAUUACUGGGCGUAAAGCGCGCGUAGGUGGUUCAGUAGGUUGGAAGUGAAAUCCCCGGGCUCAACCUGGGAACUGCUUUCAAAACUGCUGAGCUAGAGUACGGUAGAGGGUGGUGGAAUUUCCUGUGUAGCGGUGAAAUGCGUAGAUAUAGGAAGGAACACCAGUGGCGAAGGCGACCACCUGGACUGAUACUGACACUGAGGUGCGAAAGCGUGGGGAGCAAACAGG
rnacentral:rRNA from 1 species